GAUGAAGACCGUAGCGAAAUGCGAUACUUGGUGUGAAUUGCAGAAUCCCGCGAAUCAUCGAGUUUUUGAACGCAAGUUGCGCCCGAAGCCAUUCGGCCGAGGGCACGUCUGCCUGGGUGUCACGCAUCGUUGCCCCCCCAAACUCCGGUUCGGGCGGGGCGGUAGUUGGCCUCCCGUGCGUGCCUGCGCGCGCGGUUAGCCCAAAAGCGAGUCCUCGGCGACGAGCGCCACGACAAUCGGUGGUUUUUUUACCCUCGUUCCUCGUCGUGCGUGUCCCGUCGCCCGAACGCGCUCUUGCGACCCUCACGCGUCGCCUCGGCGGCGCUCCCAACGCGACCCCAGGUCAGGCGGGACUACCCGCUGAGUUUAAGCAUAUCAAUAAGCGGAGGA
rnacentral:misc_RNA from 1 species